rnacentral:rRNA from 1 species
UACGAAGGGAGCUAGCGUUGUUCGGAAUUACUGGGCGUAAAGGGCGCGUAGGCGGUUCUGCAAGUUGGAUGUGAAAGCCCAGGGCUCAACCCUGGAAUUGCAUUCAAGACUGCAUUACUUGAAUUCGGUAGAGGUUGGUGGAAUUCCCAGUGUAGAGGUGAAAUUCGUAGAGAUUGGGAAGAACACCCGUGGCGAAGGCGGCCAACUGGACCGACAUUGACGCUGAGGCGCGAAAGCGUGGGGAUCAAACAGG